GACGGGCCUCCCCGCAUGGCGGAAGGCCAACCGGGUCAGGUGGGGAACCAAGCAGCCCUAACCAUGAUGUCAGUGCCGGGGUUCAGGCUCGUCAAC
rnacentral:SRP_RNA from 1 species